rnacentral:rRNA from 1 species
UAGGGAAUCUUCGGCAAUGGACGAAAGUCUGACCGAGCAACGCCGCGUGAGUGAAGAAGGUUUUCGGAUCGUAAAACUCUGUUGUUAGAGAAGAACAAGGACGUUAGUAACUGAACGUCCCCUGACGGUAUCUAACCAGAAAGCCACGGCUAACUACGUGCCAGCAGCCGCGGUAAUACGUAGGUGGCAAGCGUUGUCCGGAGUUAUUGGGCGUAAAGCGUGCGCAGGCGGUUUCUUAAGUCUGAUGUGAAAGCCCCCGGCUCAACCGGGGAGGGUCAUUGGAAACUGGGAGACUUGAGUGCAGGAGAGGAGAGUGGAAUUACAUGUGUAGCGUUGAAAUGCGUAGAUAUGUGGAGGAACACCAGUGGCGAAGGCGGCUCUCUGGUCUGUAACUGACGCUGAGGCUCGAAAGCGUGGGGAGCAAACAGG